UUCAGACACAUCUCUUGAUUGCAUCAAAGAAGCCACACCAAGUAACUGGCCUAUACUAUCUAAGGUCAUGAUUGGAUCUGGGAUACCACAUUACAACACCUCCCUGCACUCUGCCAGUCUGUGAGCUUCAUGGUCUUUCCUUGACCCUCACUAACAGGUCAGCUUCGUAUCUGACAUGCAACUGAAGAAGGCGUAACUCUGGCAAGGCCGGCUAUGAUCACUUGUUUGUUUAGAAAAUCAGCACAGAGCCUGAUAGUACUUUACUAAAAUGGCUGCAUUCUUUGGAUUCCCUCAUC